UGGGGAAUAUUGCACAAUGGGCGCAAGCCUGAUGCAGCCAUGCCGCGUGUAUGAAGAAGGCCUUCGGGUUGUAAAGUACUUUCAGCGAGGAGGAAGGCGUUGUGGUUAAUAACCGCAACGAUUGACGUUACUCGCAGAAGAAGCACCGGCUAACUCCGUGCCAGCAGCCGCGGUAAUACGGAGGGUGCAAGCGUUAAUCGGAAUUACUGGGCGUAAAGCGCACGCAGGCGGUCUGUCAAGUCGGAUGUGAAAUCCCCGGGCUCAACCUGGGAACUGCACCCGAAACUGGCAGGCUAGAGUCUUGUAGAGGGGGGUAGAAUUCCAGGUGUAGCGGUGAAAUGCGUAGAGAUCUGGAGGAAUACCGGUGGCGAAGGCGGCCCCCUGGACAAAGACUGACGCUCAGGUGCGAAAGCGUGGGGAGCAAACA
rnacentral:rRNA from 1 species